CUCACUGGAGCUCCCUGUCUACCUGGACUGUUUUGAAGACAUCAAAAAUGCUUGCGAAGAAGAGGAUACUGUAACAUCAUUGCUCAGUACGUACACAUUUGAGGAAUGUAUCACUUCAUUCUCUGUGCUCAGCAGAAAAGUCUGCUGCUUUACCAGAUGCGACGAAUAACUAAACACAGGGACUGAAGUGCUCUGCUUCCACAGAGGAUGGUGCAGAUUCUUCUGAGCAGGAGGAUCUGUGGCCUGGGAGGUGACCUGGUGAUGCUGGACACUGUGACAGCCAGUGGCAGUGAGAACAUCAGUGAACAAAGGUCCCCUGGUGGCUGCUCCAUCUCAUUCCUAAUUGGUCUUUUGAACGUUUGCAUUUUCUUAAAUCAACUGUGUUCCCAAAUGUGAUGCACUGCACCUCUACAAGGUCCCAGAUGGAGUUGGUAGGGAAGACAACUGACCCAUUUACUGAAGGUGAUGAUUACUGUGAUUUACCAGCAGAAGCUCAAUCAAAUCUCUGGAUGUGGGGUUUUCUUCCAGACUGGACAACGUAGCAGUACUGCUGUUAUUUUAUGAUGUUUUUUUUGUGGGUUUCAGAUUACCAGAUGACUUCUAGUUAGUUUUCCCUUCAGUGGUCAGGUCACCUUACACUCCAGGACAGACACGCUGACUGGUUCUGUUCCUAACUUUCUGUCCAUUUUGCCAGUAUCUCAAUGUGUCAUGUCAGAAGAGCCAUCAUUUUUUCUAUUAUGUAUGCAUGGGAGAUAGCCUUUUCCUUUCACUCUGCUAUGUCUUGAAGGCUGUUGUGUGUUAAAGUAAGAUAAAGUCAUUUGCUGCCAUGCAGUCACACAGAAGAACAAAACACAGUAUUUUCACUUCCAUAAAUCAUGUUUUUGGAUUUAAACUCUGCACAUUCACCAUAUUUCAGAAAAUUUAUAAAAGAUCACUGAGGUUUCCAUCAGCUAUUGGUCUUUAAAGACAAAAGAUUAAUUCCCUUUAAAGAAAUAAAAAUGCUUUUGUGUUUGUUUAAAAAAUAGCAAUUUAAAGGUAAUAGAUUUUAUAAGUUGCUAUGAAGCUUAGGAAAUCAAGAAACCCUUCUCAUACCUAUGAUAACUCUUUUAGGUCUUAAGAUUUUUAUCUGGCUUCUUGAUAUUAACUUUUUUUUACUGCAUCUGAACCAACAUACUUUGUUAAUAACAAGUCCAAUUGCCUUUUCUGGGUGGUACC